GAUAUGAUAUAUGGUCGAAGGGUAUUUGCAAUGAUCUGAGAGAAUGUGUAGAUGCAGCGUGAAGAGAGAGACGUUGUUCACUACACUAGCAUGAGAUAGCGAAUGCGAUCAGCUGGAAUUGGUCAAAACACGGUAGUUUGACAGCUAGGUAACUGAUUCCUCCGUAGUUUUCCAAAUGAUGAAAGUUUGCGUCGAAAAUGGGUAAUUGCCAUGAAAAGGGAACAUUUCGAACAGUCAAAAUAUUCGAAGCUGUGUUCAGAUCAUUUCAAAAAGGAAGACUUUGUUUUUACUUUUGGCUUAAAAACAUUAAAAUUGGGCACAGUGCCUACGAUUUUUAAUUUUCCAUCGCAUUUAUUAAAGAAGGAACCCAAGGAACGCUCCACUAGGUUCCGAAACUUUGAAAAUGAUGGUAAUUCUGCUGAGACAUUGGUUGAGAAGGUUGUGACAGAAUCAGAAACUGGCGCAUCUGAAGUAUCUGUGACCAGUUCUUCCACUUCCCAUCAAGAGCAGCAGCCAUCAACCUCUACGGUACCGCAAGAGACUUUAGAACCACAAUUCGUUUCAAAACAAGAAGGCACAAAAAGAAAAAGAAGUCAACCGAUAUAUGUAGAAGAUUUUUCUGAGGCAGAUAUGGAGAAUCCAAAAAAAGCCAAACUUAUGUGGAAAUUAUCUAACAACACCAUUGUUAGACAGAAGAAAACAAUAGCCUAUUUACGUCAAAAGGUUUACAGGCAUUUAAAAACUACCAACAAAGUUUCGGCUGAUUGUCAUUCAAUUCUUAAGAAUGGUUAUUGUAAUGAAUAGUUUAUCUGCAUGAUGGGCUUUUGCUUUGUUAUAGCUGAGAUUGUAGAGGCUUUUUGGCUGAUAGUUUUGUUUGUAAUGCCGCUUUCAUAAUUUUUUUUCAGCUUUUUUUUUAUAAAGUAGCGUAGGUGGGUAACAAUUGUCAGAAGGACAUUUUUUUUCAGAAAUCGGGGGAUUAAUUUUUGGUUUUGGGAGGGAUAUUACUCAAGUUUUUUUUAGGACUGCGUUCCAAAGUCACAAGAACAACUGCUUUUACGCCAGCUGAAAAAAUCGACAGAUAGAAAAUUUCCCCCAGAAUUAAGAGCUUUUGCACUUACUUUACAUUUUUAUUCUAGUUCAGCCUAAAAUUAUGUUAGAAACACCUUUGGCAAAUGUUUGCCUCACCCUAAUACUAUUACAAAGUGGUAUUCUACUGUUGAUGGUUCACCUGGAUACACUUCAGAGUAAUUGAACGCUAUUAAAAUGAAAGCCGACGAACUCCAACAGGAAGGAAAAAAUCUAGUUUGCUCUCUUAUAAUGGAUGAAAUGUCAAUUCGACAGCAUGUGGAAUGGAAUGGGUCAAGAACUUUGGGCUACGUUAAUUUUGGUGUGAAUCUUGACAGUGACUCUUUGCCCACUGCAAAAGAAGCACUAGCAUUUUUAAUUGUUGGAGUUAACUGUUGCUGGAAGAUUCCGAUAGCGUAUUUUUUUAAUACGAUAAAUAACAGCUGAAGAAAAAGCAAAUUUGGUGAGGGGUUGCUUGCUUAUGCUGCAUAAAGCUGGCGUUAAGGUCAUCUCGUUAACCUUUGAUGGUGCUGCUACUAAUUGGACCAUGGCAUCUUGUUUAGGGGCGGAUUUAGAAAUUUCAAACAUGAAAACUUUUUUCCUGCACCCUCAGACACAGGAAGAAAUUUUUAUAAUUUUUGAUCCAAGCCAUAUGGUCAAAUUAUUGCGCAACGCUUUGGGAGACUGGGGUGCAUUCUUAGACAGCAAAAACCGAAGAAUUUUGUGGCAAUUUUUUAAAGAGUUGGUAACACUCCAGGAAAGUCAGGAGCUACAUUUAGUUACAAAAAUAAGAUCUCGGCAUAUUCACUAUCAUAAUGAAAAAAUGAAAGUGAAAUUAGCUGUGCAAGUCUUCAGUACAAGUGUCGUGGAUGCGUUGGAGUACUGCAAUAAAGAUUUACGACUGGCACAGUUUAAUGAAUCGGAUGCCACAGUGGAUUUUUGUCGAAUUGUAGACAAACUCUUUGAU